rnacentral:rRNA from 1 species
UACGUAGGGCGCAAGCGUUGUCCGGAAUUAUUGGGCGUAAAGAGCUCGUAGGCGGUUUGUCGCGUCUGGUGUGAAAACUCAAGGCUCAACUCUGAGCUUGCAGUGGGUACGGGCAGACUAGAGUGCGGUAGGGGAGAUUGGAAUUCCUGGUGUAGCGGUGAAAUGCGCAGAUAUCAGGAGGAACACCGGUGGCGAAGGCGGGUCUCUGGGCCGAUACUGACGCUGAGGCACGAAAGCGUGGGGAGCAAACAGG